GUUGGUGUUGAUGACGCUGAGGGUCCACCUGUUCCCAUACCGAACACAGAAGUUAAGCUCAGUGGUGCCGAAAAUACUUGGCUGGUGACGGCCUGGAAAGAUAGGGAGAUGCCAACA
rfam:Eubacterium sp. CAG:202 genomic scaffold, scf54